UACGGGGGGGCAAGCGUUGUUCGGAAUUACUGGGCGUAAAGGGCUCGUAGGCGGCCAACUAAGUCGGAUGUGAAAUCCCCAGGCUUAACCUGGGAACUGCAUCCGAUACUGGAUGGCUUGAAUCCGGGAGAGGGAUGCAGAAUUCCAGGUGUAGCGGUGAAAUGCGUAGAUAUCUGGAGGAAUACCGGUGGCGAAGGCGGCAUCCUGGACCGGCAUUGACGCUGAGGCGCGAAAGCUAGGGGAGCAAACAGG
rnacentral:rRNA from 1 species